rnacentral:rRNA from 1 species
UUAUAUUUUUAUUGUUGUGUUAAAGUUUUUAAAAUUUAAGUAUUAAAUAGAAUUUAUUUUGUUGUAUGAACUGAGGGGGAACGGUGAAAUAUAAUAAAAUAAACUUUAUAAAGAUAGAUAAAAUUUUACUUUUUGUAUCAUGGUGCUUUUAGUUAUGUAACAUUUUAUAUUUCCUGAAAUUAAAAGAUUUAAAUUUUAUUAAAAAUUAGUGUGGAAAUAUUAAUAAAAAAUUGUUUUUAGAACAGAAAUUGUUGCGAUUUUAAUUAUAUCCGGUUGCUUAAAAUUUUAAAUUUUAUUAGUUGGUAAGGUUUACAAAGACGAAUUUUUCUAUCUGUUAGAUAAAGCUUGAGGGAUGAGCUUCAAGUUUAUUUUUCUAUAAUUUUAUUUUUAAAAGAAUGAAUUUUUAAGCUUAGAAUUAGCUAAAAGUAAGUUAUAUUUUAUUUAAAUUAUUAAAUUAAUUACUAAAAAUUUAGAUUAGACUUUAAGUUAAAAUUUUUAAUUUAAAUUAAUUUAUUUUAAUGACUCAAUGAUUAGAAUUUAAAUUAAUGUCUUGUUAAUUAUUUUUUUUAUUAUAAAUUCGGCUAGCUUGAAAGACUGUUUAUCAAAAACAUUUUUUUUUAAUUAUCUAAAAAGUAACACCUGCCCACUGGUUAAUCUAAAGGGCCGCGGUAUUAUGACCGUGCUAAGGUAGCAUAAUCAUUAGUCUCUUAAUUAGGGAAUUGUAUGAAUGGUGAUACUUUCAAGUACUUUGUUAUAAAGAUAAAUUAAAAUUUAGGUUUAAGUGAAAAUUCUUAAAUUUUGCAAAAAGACGAUAAGACCCUAUAGAGCUUUAUACAUAAAUAAAUUUAUUUCAUGGGGGUAAAGUAAAUUUAUUAGUGUAUUUUGUUGGGGCAACAAAAGAAUAAUUUUAACUUCUUUGCAUAAUUAUACCCUUAAUUUUAGAAACUAAAAAGUUACCUUAGGGAUAACAGCGUUAUAAUUUUUGAGAGCCCAAAUCGACAAAAUUGUUUGCGACCUCGAUGUUGAAUUAAAAUUUCUUUAAGGGGCAGUUCUUUUAAUAGAUAGUCUGUUCGACUAUAAAAUUUUUACAUGAUUUGAGUUCAAAUCGGUGUGAGCCAGGUUGGUUUCUAUCUUUUGUUUAAAGGUUUCUUUUUAGUACGAAAGGACCAUUAGAUUGACUGUUU